rnacentral:rRNA from 1 species
ACGGGAGGCAGCAGUGGGGAAUAUUGCACAAUGGGGGAAACCCUGAUGCAGCGACGCCGCGUGAAGGAUGACGUAUUUCGGUAUGUAAACUUCUAUCAGCAAGGAAGAUGAUGACGGUACUUGACUAAGAAGCCCCGGCUAACUACGUGCCAGCAGCCGCGGUAAUACGUAGGGGGCGAGCGUUAUCCGGAUUUACUGGGUGUAAAGGGCGCGUAGGCGGGACGGCAAGUCAGGUGUGAAAUCUAUGGGCUUAACCCAUAAACUGCAUUUGAAACUGUCGUUCUUGAGUGCUGGAGAGGUAGACGGAAUUCCUUGUGUAGCGGUGAAAUGCGUAGAUAUAAGGAAGAACACCAGUGGCGAAGGCGGUCUACUGGACAGUAACUGACGCUGAGGCGCGAAAGCGUGGGGAGCAAACAGGAUUAGAUACCCUGGUA